rnacentral:tRNA from 1 species
GGCGGUGUAGCACAAUGGGUAAGGAGUUGGUCUUGUAACCUAAAGGUUGCAGGUUCGAUUCCCCGGUAGGACACUGCCG